UGGGGAAGGAAACAUUCCGGACCUGAGCAAUAGAACGAUGGAACAAGGAACAAUGGCAAAGCUUGUGUUCGGUCCAUCAAGGUGGGGAAUCAAAGGUCAGGCAGACCAUCCUUUUUUAAAGGGGUCUUCCUUUGGAAAAGGGCCAGGCAGGUAACCAGUGACAACUAACAUCCUGAUUUAUUUGGCAUCAAACACAAGGCAUGAAUGACCUGGGUCUCUUAAAUAUAAAUGUGGUCCAGGAGUGUUGAUUCUGAGCUGGGUCUCACCCAGACCCGUUGACACCCCAGGGAGAAAAAAGAAAGAUAAACAUUUUAUUUUAUACUACGCUUUUGGUUUGGGAGAUGCCCAAUUGUUUCCCUUCCCUUCUUGUCUCCUUCCUCCUGAUGGGGGCUUCCCCAGAAAGUUCAACAUCUACCUUGAAAAGUUCUGCCAGUUCACCUAAGAUCAGAGACCAAGGGACUCGCCAGCCAGUAUUCAAUAUCUCCACCUACAAAAUCAGGAUUCCACCCUGCAUUAUUAACACACUUUUUUCUGUUGUUUUGAAAAUCAUAAAAUGAACCUGGAUUCAA